CGAACAACCAGUUGUCCCCCAUUCAGGUUUUCCAAAUGUUAUUGGUGUCAUAGACUGCACCCAUGUGAAAGUUCUGGCACCAAGAGAAUAUGAGGCUGACUACGUAAAUCGCAAAGGCUACCAUUCACUCAAUGUACAGAUGGUGUGCGAUUCUGGCUAUCGUUUUCUGAACGUGGUGGCAAAGUGGCAAGGAAGUGUGCAUGAUGCCAGGAUAUUUAGAAAUUCCUUACUUUGAACUCUUGAUGGAUGUAUCUUGGGUGACAGUGGGUACCCCAGUAGACGUUAUCUGAUGACCCCUUACUUACAAACAAGGAACAGGGCACAGGAAAGAUACAACCGAUCACUACUGAGGACCAGGGUUAUUGUGGAGCAGGCAUUUGACGUUUUGAAACGUCGCUUUGCUUGCUUGGCGUAUGGCCUGCGAUGCCACCCUGGAAGAUGCUGUAGCAUUAUCAUUGCUACUGUAUUCUUACACAAUUAUGGACUUGACGGUGGUGACAUCUUGGAACCCAAUCAGGAUAUGGAUGUAAAUCAACCCCCCAACAUUGCUCAUCAAGAAAACAACAAUGGAAUUCAAUACAGGGAUAUAUUUGCUGAACGUUAUUU